rnacentral:lncRNA from 1 species
CAGAGCUUCCUACUCUAUUUUCUCAGAAAUCAUAGCUGCUAUUAUUGUUUCAACACCUAGCUUCUUAAAGCCAACACACCAAAUGGAAAACAAAACUAAGCAGUUAAAGAUUGAUGAUUUAGUUUACUUUCCAACAAACAUCUGGGCAUUUGGAACAUCUGGAUUAUUUGCUUUGAAACUUUCCAUUUUCAUCUGGUUUGGUGUUAGGGCUACUAAUUAUGCCUUAUUUAUCUGGGGACAUGUGCCAAGCCCUGGUCAGACUGUGACUGAAAGGAAGCUGCCAAUCAACCAAAUGUGGAAAUGACCCUGGGUUUAGCAGCUCAUAAACUUAAUUUUUUUUUUUUUUUUUUAAGACUCAAAAAUCCCUAUCUUCAUAGAGUUUAGGUUCCUUGAAGUACAAGAUGGCAUUUAAACUCAGACCUGAUGGAUGAAUAAGGUAGGCAGAAAUCUGGGGACAGGACACAGAUAUCGGGUCUCUUUCACAUCACACAAUAGCUAUGAAGGCAGGAGAAAGUGUGCUUUGGGGGAGCUUCCAGUAAUUGGGCCUGGCUGGAGUACAAAGCAGGAGGCUGGGAGUGAUGAGUGGAGGGACAGAGACAGAGAGGGACUCAGAUUGAGAAACAUCCAGAAAGACAGAAAAACACAGAAACUGGCAGAAAUAGAGAUGGAGACAGAGCAAGGCAGAGAAACUGUCUGAGAUGGAAAACCAGAAAAAUAACAGAACAGAAAGAUCUGAUAAGGACAAUGUGACAGCUGCUGUGAAGUCACCUCCUCCUGGUCCUACAUUCUUGGGGGCUUUAUUUUGACCCAGGAAACUUUUUAAACUUUUGUAAAAGAACAUUUGGAAAGGACUGAAAAAUAAAAAAAGAGAUGAAGAAAAUUACCCAUUUUUUAUUAUCAAUUAUAGUCACUAUUCAUUUUAGUAAUAUUUUCAUCUUGUCAGCUUUUUUCUAUAUGCAGUCUUAUUAAAACAUGGUUCUUAAAAUAAGAUAUACAUUUCUUAUCUAUAUUUUGUUUCCUUAUAUAGAAAAUCAGCACUUUUAUGUUAAUAAAAUACAAAAAUACUAUUUUAAUUACUAUAUUAAUUAUAUGGCUACACCAUAAUCUACUUAGUUAAUUUUCUAUUGUUGGUUCUUAUUUGACAGUUACUAAGAUUUGGCUGUAUAAACAGCUUUUAGCUUAUGCUUUUUCUGGAUUUGGAAUUCUUUAUUGAUAACUACCCAGAGUUGGAAUUGACUAUGACAUCUGGAAAUGUUUCAAUUAACCAGAUCUUACAGGGACUCAUAUCUUCCAUUUUCCCCAGGAGGCCAAAAUUGACACCUGAAUUGUGAUAUUGAUGCUAAAAUGAUUUAUCACUAGAAAAAUUUAAAAUACCUAUUAUUUCAUGUUCUAAAUUACUUUUUUUGUCUGCCUGAAAGAAAUGAUCCUGUAAUAAGUGAUUUCCUUUCAUUUGCCAUCAAAAGCUUAUAUAAUGAAGUAUAUUCUUCAUUUCCUGUCUUCUCUUAAAUGACUAACAUGGGCCAGAUAACUCAGAGUCAGAGUUUGGGUCCAUCAGCUUGAACUGUACGUUUUCUUGGUGGUUUUAGAUUGGAAAAAUAUCUAGAGAGGGUAGGAAAUGGGGAGGGGCAUUGCAGCUAAAUUCUUAGGGAGAACCAGAGUUUAAGGUAGGGAAAGUUGUUAUAUUGUCAAGUCAAAAGGGAGGAAGACAGUGGUAGCUCUAAAAUUUCUUCUUAAAAGACAAUUUAAAACAUGGUAUUUUGUAGUUCAAUUGAAAUUUAGAGACAGGACAGUUCCAGGAUUGUACCGUGGAUCAGUGGUAUUACUUAGGAUCUAGGCUUUCUAAGUUCUUACUGUAUAAUACCCAGCUUGCUGGCUUUGUCCUUUUAUGCUUGUCUACUCAAGGUCACAAGAUGGCAUCACUUCUUUAUCCCAAGGGGUCCUGAAGCUUCCAAAAACAUCACAGGCAGGAAGAAUUAAAAGAGGUAUCUCUUUUUCCUACCAGAGAGAAAAAUAUUUUCUAGACGCCUCUAGCUGACUUAGCCUAAGAUGCCAGUGGACAGAACUAGAUCUUGAGCCAACCACUAACCUGGUAGACUUGAGCCAAUCACCAGUCUCUGGAGAAGGGGAAGUGGCUCAUCUUUUCUGAGCAUUUUGCUGCCCAUUACCAGAUCAAAAGUGGGGUUCUUUUAAUAAAGAUAGCAUUGGCUACAGCCAGCAUCCUGGUUAAAGGAGGAGACCAAGUGAUUUCUUUAUGUUGUUUUGAAUAAAAAGAAACAAAUUUCUUUCUUAAAUUUUGAAUUUCCUCUUUCUUAGGGUAACUUGUUUGUGUGAAAGAAAGAGGGCCAGGAUGAGUAUUACAAGCAGCUAAACUUCUCCCAAAGGCACUUCAUAGCUCCUCCACAGAAAGAUGGGGAAACAAGCUCAACACUCCAAAGGCAUUCAGGUGACAUAGGAGAGGAGUAGUAGAUGUUGAAGUGAAAGAAAGAAGUUUGGGGUAAUUUCUAUGAACAAUGUUGGCGAUUAUACGGCAUCAUAAGAACUGUCUUCUGAAGUAUGCUACAUCAGCCUGAUAUAAAGGUUCAGAGUGAGGAUAGCAGUAAAUAACAAGAGUAAAAAAGAGUGGUUCAGUUUUUUUUAUCAGGUUGUUUAAAAUAUUGGAACUGUUUAUGGAACCACGGAAGUUUGAAAUCCUAGGAUAAGAAAUCAUGGAAACCGCAGCCAGUUCUCUUGCUUCUUUCACGCCCAACUAAAUAACUAGAGAGGCUUUGAGGCUCACAUGACAGCGUAAAAAAUUUGGUUUACUAUAAAGGAUGCUUCUUUUAUUCUCCUACAGUAGAUGUCAUCUCUUCUUGCAAGCCUGCCCUGAUUUUAACUUUGCGUGGAAUGUCUUCGUGCCCUUUGCUCACCACUGAGGUUACAUUUAUCAGUCGUAUGACUAUAGCCUGCAUUCUGAUGCCAGGAACAUGGUAGUUACUAUAUGAAUAAUGGAGAUCGGAUUAACAAGUAAAUGAAAAGAAUGAAUUAAAUAAACAACAGCAGGAAAAAGAAUUCUCUUUGUUCUUUCAGAAGAGUCAUCAGAAUAAUCAGCGUAGAUUUUAAAAAUAAACAUAGACAAUAAAUUUUCUUGAAUAUUCUCUUUCAUCUCUUGUAACUCUGUUUAAAUAAACCCUUUUUUUCUAAUGCAGUGGAACUUCACCGAGCCUUGAAAUUAACAGCUAAGUAUUCAAAAAAUAAAAGGGGACAGAUUGUGUUAUCAGAUUUGUGCCCUGAAACCAACCAUCCCCUGCCUCUUCUGUAUAGUUAUAAAGACCUAAAUAUGUUUACAAAAGCCUGUUUACUCAAUCUGUGUGCUAAUAAAGACGGAAGUCUGGAAUUUGACCUUUCUGUUUAAACACAUUUCAUUGAAAUAUGUUUGGCUUUUUAAUCUCAACAUUAAAUAAGAUAAUUUUUGAAUAUGAAUUGCUUAAAAAUUUUCUCAAACUUCCAAUUGUAUUUGGUAUACUGGACACUCCCAGAAUCCUGGCUAAUUUUUGAUAGUACUUUUACAAUUUUUGUCUCUAUAGUCUAUAUAAUAAUAGCAUGUUUAUGCCAAGUAUGGAGUCAGAUGGUUACAAAAGAUAUGAAUAUGGUUAGUGUUGUGGGUUUAAUUCUUGGUAAAUUUUGCAUAAAAUAAAUAUUGUUAUAGCUACACAGAGAACCUUUUAAUACAGGACAGUAUCUUGGAAAAAGCACUAGCUAAGGAGUCAUAAAAAUCAAGAUUAAGUUCUGGCUUUAUCUCAGAUCAUUCAUUCAUUCCUUCUAAGCCUUAAUAUCCUUCUCAAGAAGCUAAAGAUGAUAUAGCUCUUACCUAUCUCAUUAGUGGUUUUGAUGAUGAGGUGACUGUGUCAAAGAACUUUAAAGACUUUAUAAAAUUGCCAAGUAUUAUAAAAUUAGUCACGGAAGGUAUAGUAAGACCAUUUAUAAUCAAAAGGGGAAAAAAAAAACCCUGAUAGGUCAGUAGAAUCAUAUUGAUGUAUGAGGACAGUGCUUACAUUUUUUAUAAAGAAAAAUCAUUGAUUAAAUAUAGUGUAUUUUCCAUCUUGCCUUAGCUGUUACUUCCUUUGUGAUUUGAUCAGAGAAGAUGUGAACUUAAGCCAUCAUCUAGGACAAAGGAUCCAAAGUUUGCUACACAUUUAAGAAAUAGUGAGGAAAAUAAAACCUAGAGAUAUAAAGAGAAAGUGGAAGGUUGGGAAAGAAAUCUAUUUCUAUUAAAUAGUGCACAUAAUCUCUUUGAAAUGUGUCUGUCUGGGGGGGAGGGAAGAGGAAGCCGAAGAAAGUAGAAAUAAGAGCACACUGGCUUUUGAUCGCUGGGGAUGAAGUAGAGCUAUUUAAUCUCCAGAUUGCCCUCAUACUGUGUGCAUCUAUUGUGCUGUGGUUGAACUCUAACAGGCAGUUCUGUUGUGCCUGUUAAUUUCAGCACAGUGUGAAUUGCCCCUUUACUUACAGGGAAUAGUUAGUUCAAUUGAUGCACAUUUCACUGAAUCCACAAAUCAAUAAACCACUUGGAAAGAAGUAAAGUGUGAAUCUUCCUGUCUGGUCUCCUGAUAGGAGAGACAAAGAAUGGCAAUGAGAUCUGAAAUCCCCAACCGGGAGUUAAUCCUGCUUUCACUUGUCUGGUUUAGCAGAUGACGUCAAUUGGCAAAGGCUUAUGAAUGUUAUCUCUAUAACCCUCUUUCUGCAGGCCUCUGGCUCUUCCAGCAGAGUGUCUAAGGACUGGUGUACAAUUUCACCUCAUAUCUUGAGACUAAGUGGAAAUGGUUUUUAACUUAUAGUGCAACUGGGCAAGGGACAGGACCUGAUGGAACCAAUCCAAUUACAGUUUCUGAAAUAUGAAGAAGUCUGCUGGGUAAGACACAAGAUCAUGGAAUAUGGUAAUCUUUGGGCGUAGUCCAAACCAUGGACAAAAACCAGUCUAUAUCAAGUCAUGGGGCCAAGAAUUGAGCUAGGGUUGAGAGGCAGGAAUUCAGGAAUGGGUGCCAAGGCAGUAGUCCAUUUUAUCAGCCAGAGCUCUCUAUUGAAAGCAGCAAAAACUUAUGCUGGCCAUCUAAAGGAAAAAGGAUUUAUUAUAAGGUGAUCAGGGACUUGGGAAAUUGAUUGGAGAUUGGGGAACCUGACUUUGGGAAAAAAAAAAGCAGGAUCGU